GGUACCAAUGACUUUGUUGUUGACUCACUCUUAGCCAUCCGAUCAUGACAAUGAUUCUCUAAGUACAUAAAAAAUAUAUAUAUACAUGGAGUGCAAAGAGGUUUCCCUUAUCAAAGAGGGCUGGAUCUUUUGGAACAAUUCAAAUUGCUUCACUAAUAGGUUGAUUACCUAAGGGAGAGAUUGGGAGGAACAACUUUUUUUUUUCUUUUUUUUUUAUUACGUUAAAUUAAGUUGAUUAGUCUAAAUUAAGAUUCGAAGAAAACUAGUUUUUUC
rnacentral:lncRNA from 1 species